UACGUAGGGUGCAAGCGUUGCCCGGAUUUAUUGGGCGUAAAGGGCGCGUAGGCGGCUCUGCACGUUCGUUGUGAAAUCGUCCGGCUCAACUGGGCGGGGUCAGCGGAUACGGCAGAGCUUGAGCAAGCUAGGGGGCAAUGGAAUUCCCGGUGUAGUGGUGGAAUGCGUAGAUAUCGGGAGGAACACCAGUGGCGAAGGCGGUUGCCUGGGGCUUUGCUGACGCUGAUGCGCGAAGCGUGGGGAGCGAUCCGG
rnacentral:rRNA from 1 species